ensembl:lncRNA
UAAACUUUUAAGAUAUUUUCAGGCGAGAAUGUAGCUGUGUAAAUUUCAAAUAUCUGCUCGAUUUAUCAAGACAUCACAUAUUUGCAAAAAUGCUCCGACGUUUUCGGAGACGUUUUUUUUUUUUUUUUUUUCAUGCUUUGUGGCAGCUUUAGAACAUCUGUGGCAUCUAUUAAUGUCAAAUCUAGCCUUUAUUUAACAACAUAAGCAAACUCUAUGUUACAAUGGUUGCACAGCCAUUAAGGAUCAAAUCAGUUUCUGAAAAAUGUUCUGUUUUUUCUCCCUCUGCUUGCUUCUUACUGUCUUUGAGGCUCGGGACCAGCACUCCUGUUGUUGGACAGAAAGACAUCAACUCAGUGACUUGAGAUAUGACUGCACUAUGCUGUUGCUGGUGACCACAGUUAAUUCUACAAGACAUGCUGUGACAACAGGAGAGAUGAGUCCUCCGUCACAGAUGGUGUGGUCAGUGAAGAUGGUCGCCUGCAGGUUCAAGCUCAUUGCAUCUCCA